rnacentral:rRNA from 1 species
ACGGACGAACGCUGGCGGCGUGCCUAACACAUGCAAGUCGAGCGGGGACAUACGACGGAACCAAAGUUUCGGAUGGAGGUGAAGAUGUAUGUUCUAGCGGCGGACGGGUGAGUAACGCGUGAGCAACCUGUCCCUUACAGGGGGAUAACACAGCGAAAGUUGUACUAAUACCGCAUGAGACCACGGGGAGACAUCUUUCAGGGGUCAAAGGAGCAAUCCGGUAAGGGGUGGGCUCGCGUCCGAUUAGAUAGUUGGUGAGGUAACGGCCCACCAAGUCGACGAUCGGUAGCCGACCUGAGAGGGUGAUCGGCCACAUUGGGACUGAGACACGGCCCAAACUCCUACGGGAGGCAGCAGUGGGGAAUAUUGGGCAAUGGGGGGAACCCUGACCCAGCAACGCCGCGUGAGGGAAGAAGGUUUUCGGAUCGUAAACCUCUGUCCUAUGUGAAGAGGAAGAGACGGUAGCAUAGGAGGAAGCCCCGGCUAACUACGUGCCAGCCGCCGC